CCUCGCGCCGACCAUCUCUUCACCCCACUCACGCCGAUGCGUCUCUGCCCCGAUGCCAUAGUCUCCGAUCACGCCGGUGUUGUUCCGCCGACCGAGGCCCUUCUCCACCGAUCGUUGGAGUUCAACCGGUGGUUCUUCUUCUUGAGCCGUCAUUCCUGUACGGGUAGAUCGUUCGUUAAGAGUGGUUCGAGCCCUAGAUCUGAUCUCUCACCGCCGCACCUUUGCACAUCGCAGUUUCAACCAUCGGACCAUGCUACUCCAACCAAUAUGUGCCCUAGUUGUGAUGUCACCCUAUUUUUUUCCUCGGCUUACCAUCACCGCGGUAUUCUGAUUUUCUGUGAGAGAUCUCAGAUCUGAUAAGGGCUCCAGCGAGGAGAUUGGCCACGGGUGGCUAGCCGCUGCCACCAGAUCCUUUACUCCGGCUAGUUCCCUAGCUCUAGGGUCAGUGCUAGACCUUUAUCUCGGGUUCAACGUGAGGUUUCCGGCCUGGAUCUCCAGAAGAGCACAGUUCCAAUUAAACAACUCUGUUCUGGCCAGAAAUCAAGGAUCGACUAUGAGGGGGCAGCGACUGCAUGGUAGCUUUGGCCAGGAAUCCUUGGCAUCAGCCUUCUCCGGCUGUGAGAUAACAGCAAAGUCUCAAUAUUAGGGCAUUGAUUCGAAACGAGCGUCUCGACGUGGGAUUGUUUAGCACGAUCGACAUAUAAAGGUUGAAGCCGUCAGAAGGUUCCAGUUGCUAGUUCCCACUCCAUGUCGAGAUAGUUUUUUAUUUUCAGAAUUUGGUUCCUUGUUAUGUGAUCUACAUACUUGUAAUCUUUAGUUCUUGCACUCGUGCAUUUUAUAUUGAGUUUUUGGUACGAUGUCCAUGUUUUUCAGCUACGAUGGUUUUCCGUUGUGGGUUGUGUUAACCUCUUUGUAGUGGAGUAAGUUUUAUAUUAAACUAUGUGGAAUGUUUACUUAUUUUAUCAUAUAUGUUCUGGCCA